rnacentral:rRNA from 1 species
UGGGAGCUUGCUCCCAUUUCUCAGCGGCGGACGGGUGAGUAACACGUGGGCAACCUGCCCUACAGACUGGGAUAACUCCGGGAAACCGGAGCUAAUACCGGGUAAUACAUAGCAUCGCAUGAUGCAACGUUGAAAGUUGGCCUUUGGCUAACACUGUAGGAUGGGCCCGCGGCGCAUUAGCUAGUUGGUAAGGUAACGGCUUACCAAGGCCACGAUGCGUAGCCGACCUGAGAGGGUGAUCGGCCACACUGGGACUGAGACACGGCCCAGACUCCUACGGGAGGCAGCAGUAGGGAAUCUUCCGCAAUGGACGAAAGUCUGACGGAGCAACGCCGCGUGAGUGACGAAGGCCUUCGGGUCGUAAAGCUCUGUUGUUAGGGAAGAACAAGUACCGUUCGAAUAGGGCGGUACCUUGACGGUACCUAACCAGAAAGCCACGGCUAACUACGUGCCAGCAGCCGCGGUAAUACGUAGGUGGCAAGCGUUGUCCGGAAUUAUUGGGCGUAAAGCGCGCGCAGGCGGUCUCUUAAGUCUGAUGUGAAAGCCCACGGCUCAACCGUGGAGGGCCAUUGGAAACUGGGGGACUUGAGUGCAGAAGAGGAGAGUGGAAUUCCACGUGUAGCGGUGAAAUGCGUAGAUAUGUGGAGGAACACCAGUGGCGAAGGCGGCUCUCUGGUCUGUAACUGACGCUGAGGCGCGAAAGCGUGGGGAGCGAACAGGAUUAGAUACCCUGGUAGUCCACGCCGUAAACGAUGAGUGCUAGGUGUUGGGGGGGUUCCACCCUCAGUGCUGAAGUUAACACAUUAAGCACUCCGCCUGGGGAGUACGACCGCAAGGUUGAAACUC